GAUAGUUGUAGCUGGAGCUUGAAUCGCUGGGACCUGAUCCUUAUAUAUGGAUAAGUCGGAAAAAGCAUGACUUUGAGUUAAUCUCGCUAGCCCCCGCACUUGGAUUAUUAAGUAAAAGUUCGGCUUGAGUUAACCUCACUAGUAGGCAUUGAAUUAAGAGAGCUGUAUAAGGGAUUCACUCUCAUAUAUAUAUUGAUGUGACACAUGGGUGCAUACAUGCUCUAAAUUAUC
rnacentral:misc_RNA from 1 species